AAUGGGCGCAAGCCUGAUCCAGCAAUGCCGCGUGCAGGACGAAGGCCUUCGGGUUGUAAACUGCUUUUGUACGGAGCGAAAAGGCUCUCUCUAAUACAGGGGGUUCAUGACGGUACCGUAAGAAUAAGCACCGGCUAACUACGUGCCAGCAGCCGCGGUAAUACGUAGGGUGCAAGCGUUAAUCGGAAUUACUGGGCGUAAAGCGUGCGCAGGCGGUUAUGUAAGACAGAGGUGAAAUCCCCGGGCUCAACCUGGGAACUGCCUUUGUGACUGCAUAGCUAGAGUACGGCAGAGGGGGAUGGAAUUCCGCGUGUAGCAGUGAAAUGCGUAGAUAUGCGGAGGAACACCGAUGGCGAAGGCAAUCCCCUGGGCCUGUACUGACGCUCAUGCACGAAAGCGUGGGGAGCAAA
rnacentral:rRNA from 1 species